CCAAUAGCGUAUAUUAAAGUUGUUGCAGUUAAAAAGCUCGUAGUUGAAUUUCGGGAUUUAUCCGUCGGUCGGGCUUUUGGGUCUGUACUGGCGUGAUGGAUUCCUACCUUCUGAAUAACCGGCAUGUCAUUAAUUUGGUGCGCCGGGGAAGCAGGACUGUUACCUUGAAAAAAUUAGAGUGCUUAAAGCAGGCUUAUGCCUGAAUACAUUAGCAUGGAAUAAUGAAAUAGGACGGCAUGGUUCUAUUUUGUUGGUUUCUAGGAUCACCGUAAUGAUUAAUAGGGAUAGUUGGGGGCAUUAGUAUUCAAUUGUCAGAGGUGAAAUUCUUGGAUUUAUUGAAGACUAACUUCUGCGAAAGCAUUUGCCAAGGAUGUUUUCAUUAAUCAAGAACGAAAGUUAGGGGAUCGAAGACGAUCAGAUACCGUCGUAGUCUUAACCAUAAACUAUGCCGACUAGGGAUCGGACGAUGUUAAUUUUUUAAUGACUCGUUCGGCGCCUUAC
rnacentral:rRNA from 1 species